GCUCCAGUGCUGGCUCCCUGACAGCAUGACCUCUGCCCCCGAGCUUACAGAACACGCUCCCACGCAGAACCCCACUGAGCCUCACACAGCCUGGGACACACGCGGUGCCGUCCUCACACACAGAGACUGUGUCUCCUGCUCAGCAACCCCCAGCUUCAGGGAGCACUUGCUGGACGCACCAGCCUGUAAAAGGCCGCCCCCUGGCGGUCCGCCACUGACACCAGCACCUCAGAGUCCAUAAACUACAAGGUCAAGGUGAACCGGCCACACAGAACAGCCAGCCAUUGUCCAAACAGCCUGGAAGACAGGAGGCAGUGACGCUUCAUGACAUAUUUCACUGUUACCAGCCAGCAUCCCAGGACACACGUCAGGACAGAGAAAGGCUGGUGACUAUUUGGCCUUGAGAUUAGAAGUGAGUUUGGGCUCCUACAUACAACCAGGGCCCAGGAACUAGCAGGUGAUCACCAAAUGUUUGCUGAAUUGGGAUAAAGCAGUCAAGGCCAGCCAUAGCCCAAAGACACUCACGGCAGAAUGGAUCCAGCCUCAUAGAAAGGGAGGGUGGACGGUGAAGGAAACUUCACAAAUGCCCCAGCAAGUCAACAGCAGACCCUACAUAAGAACCCAGAAGUGGAGUCCCAGCCUGGGGAUGUGGGCCAGGCUUAAAGGCCAGCAGUACUCACUGGGUACAAGAAUGUGCUUGGAAAUAAUGGAAAACCAGUCACCACUUAGGUGACAAUGGGACUGAAAGUGUCUAAGGAAUAAGAACGUACCCCCAAGAAGUCUUCGAGAAAGGCCAGCGGUGUGAAUCUGCCUCUUCUUCUCGGUCUGCAUUUCCCUACCUCAUCUUGUGGAACGAGGGGCAAUUGAAAAUGCUAAGUGGUGUUGGCAUCCACUGUUCCCUUGUCACCGGUCCUUGAAGACUUGGUGUGUCUGGGGUGUGAGUAAGCACGUGUGCAUUUGGAGGACUGUCACUGCUUUUCUCACGUCACUCAAAUCCCUGUAUGGUUAAUUAAAAGCCAUGGCAUCAUCUCUACUGUGACAUGGGAUGAUCCCUGCUCUACGAUCCGUCAUCCUAAUUAGCAAGGAGAGAAGGGAUUUGUCUGCUUUCAAUGUGUAUGUUUUAAAGCUGGCGACACUCACAGGAGAUGGGCCUGAGCGAAUCCAGCAUGAAAUUCUAUUCAGAAAAUUGUUUGUGAAUUUUGAAACAUGAUCUUGGGCUUGUUCAGA